rnacentral:rRNA from 1 species
UGACCGCUAGCGAUAGCUUUACCACAUGCGAGUCGAGGGCAGCGAUGGUAGCAAUACCUGUCGGCGACCGGCGCACGGGUGAGUAACGCGUAUGUAACCUGCCCGCAACAGAGGGAUAACCCGGCGAAAGUCGGACUAAUACCUCAUAAAACAGGGGUUCCGCAUGGGGCUAUUUGUUAAAGAUUUAUUGGUUGCGGAUGGGCAUGCGUACCAUUAGGUAGUUGGUGAGGUAACGGCUCACCAAGCCAUCGAUGGUUAGGGGUUCUGAGAGGAAGGUCCCCCACACUGGUACUGAGACACGGACCAGACUCCUACGGGAGGCAGCAGUGAGGAAUAUUGGUCAAUGGGCGAGAGCCUGAACCAGCCAAGUCGCGUGAAGGAUGACUGCCCUAUGGGUUGUAAACUUCUUUUACAGGGGAAUAAAAUGAGAUACGUGUAUUUUAUUGCAUGUACCUUGUGAAUAAGCAUCGGCUG